rnacentral:rRNA from 1 species
AUUCCAGCUCCAAUAGCGUAUAUUAAAGUUGUUGCAGUUAAAAAGCUCGUAGUUGAACUUCAGAUCCGGCUGGGCGGUCUGCCUAACGGUAUGUACUGUCCGGCUGGGUCUUACCUCUUGGUGAGCCGGCAUGCCCUUUAUUGGGUGUGUCGGGGAACCAGGACUUUUACCUUGAGAAAAUUAGAGUGUUCAAAGCAGGCCUAUGCCCGAAUACAUUAGCAUGGAAUAAUAAAAUAGGAUGUGCGGUUCUAUUUUGUUGGUUUCUAGAGUCGCCGUAAUGAUUAAUAGGGAUAGUUGGGGGCAUUAGUAUUCAGUUGCUAGAGGUGAAAUUCUUGGAUUUACUGAAGACUAACUAUUGCGAAAGCAUUUGCCAAGGAUGUUUUCAUUG